rnacentral:misc_RNA from 1 species
AGUGGUUCGUAAUAUUGCAAUAUCUUUUCGUCGUUAAUGUCAAUUGAAACACUGGAGUAUCCGACCAGUUAGACUAUGUGAGAGCGUCAAGUUUCUUUGUUCUGAAUCAAAAUGUCGCAGCCAAGGAGUACGGAGGAUCCUGAAGUCUAUUGGAAAAACAGAGCUGAGGAGCUUGAGCGCGAACUUGAGGAUUUUCGAGAACAGUCACAAGAUUUGGAGAAAGAACUUGAAGCAUCUUUGGAGCAAGCAGAGAAAAUUGCUCACGACUUUAGGGUUCGAUGUAACAAAUUACAGUUGGAAAAUGAAACUUUAAAGGACAAAUUGGAACAAGUUACUAAAGAAAGCACGACCCAAAUUAAUAAUCUACAAGAGGAAUUAUCACAAUGUCAAAGCCGUGAAGAAAAGUUAGUAAAAUACAUUAGAGAACUUGAACAGAAAAAUGAUGACCUGGAAAGAACGCAAAGGGCAAUGUAUGUGUCUCUAGGAGAAUUUGAGACUAAAAUGAAUCUAGCUAUUGAACGCAAUGCCUUGCUAGAAUCUGAAUUGGAUGAGAAGGAAUCAUUGCAAGCCAUGGUUCAAAGACUUAAAGAUGAAGCAAGAGAUAUGAAGCAGGAGAUAGUUAUCUCAAAGAGGCAAGACAAAAAUGAUAAUGAAAAAGUUUUGGAGAGAAGAAGAAGUUCACCUGUGGACUCAAACAAAUUGGUAACAGCUGAAAUGGAAACUCAAACAAUAACAUCACCAUCACCCAUCAAAACCAUUGGAACCAACAACAAUGCUCUUCCACCACCUACACGGAUAUCUGCCAUGAAUAUUGUUGGUGACCUAUUACGGAAAGUUGGGCUUGAGAAGUGGUUAUGUCCCGGAUGUAGCAGGGUCAAGUGCUGCUGUGCAGCAGCAGGCAACGUGGAACCAGAACGUCCCUUUCCCCAUCCUGAUACCCUUCCUCGACCGACACGACCUCGCUUUUCACCCCCUACAUCUCCCAAAUUUCAGCCUCGACCAUUCUUUCAGCAGCUCCGAAACAGUCUGUCUCUAAGCGCCUUCUCGGGGACUGAAUCUUGUCUACCACAAAACCCAUGACUCCUACUUUUUAUCCCGUUUGUCCCACUAAUCCCAUUUGUACAGUCAGAUUGAAGUAUAUUUUUUUCUCAUACUCCCUUAGGCCAAUGUUAAUGUCCCAAUAAAUGGGAAUCUAUUUAUUUUUAGAAAAGAAAUUUGUAAUUUUGUAUUAUACUUUAGAUUUUGCCACUUACUGUGCCAUUGUCUAUGCUCAUUUUUCUAAAACUAAAGUCAGAUUUAGUUUAAAAAUGUACUUUAAGAAUGACUGUGCUGGUCAACCCUAGUCAUAAAACCCCACAGUCCCCUCUGGUUGGUCUUCAGUUGAUUCAUCUGCACAUCUGCAAACCCUCAGGCUUUGGAGUCAAAACUAGCAUCAUGUCGCCCUCCCUACAGAGAGAGCCCCUUAGCCAGUGAGAAUGGAAAUGAAGUCUUUCACGAAUACCCUCGGCAUAACUCCCUUUC